CACACACACACACACACACACACACACACACACACACACACACACACACACACACACACGCCCUCUCUCUCUCUCGCUCUCUGCCACUCCGUCUCUCACUCUCUCUCUCUCUCCCUCUCCUCUCUGCUGCUAUUCUGGGAAGUGGCGUUUGGAAUAACCCCCGUGUGCGAACGAGUGUGUGUGUGUGCGUGUGUGUGUGUCUCCUGAUUUCACCCUCUCACACGCACACAUAGCCUACACACUCAUCACAACACAGUCAGACGCACACAUUGACUGGCUGUCUGACUGCAGUAUAGGCUAGAGGAGCUCCGGCAGCAGAAACCCGGUCGGAAAGGAUUCCGAUUCCAUUUUUACGCGCAACUUUUUUCCCCCUUCCGUCGGCGACGUUUUCCACCGCUUCCCCUCUUCGACUCGUGUGGAUUUCUAACAACUGUUCUCCCGGCUUGGUUUCUACUAACGGACAACCAGCGAAGGUGUCAAGCCCGCCCGGAAUCGGAUCUCCUGUCACCGGGGGUUGCUUGUUGUCAUUAUCGCGCGGAGACGCGCAGCUGGAGCGCAGACGGAAGCGGCUGUGACCAGUUUGUGGACUGGACCGGAGGACAGCUACAUCAGGAUGGCCACGCGAGGAAUCUUUCUGAAACCGAACUGAGCACGUACAGACAAACAGGUCUUUUGGUGAGAAAACUGGAAGACUUUUGAAGCUAAAGAAAGGAUCUACAAGCACUUUUCCUUACAGAAAAAUCACUCAAGGAUUCUUCUGUCGUUAGAUGUAAACUGGACAGAAAACAACGCAUAGCAACAUUAGUGUUUACACAAUGGCAAAAGGAGAGAAACAUUUCUGAUGUUAUCCACUAAAGCUCCCCUUUUAUUUCCACUUCCUGAUUCCUGUUUCCAGCCUGGCUUUACAAUCAGUCUAUUUCAGCAAUGGACGGGUACUUCCUGUUUCUGUGAACUUGUUGGCAGCCCUCAAAGGUUCAGCUAUCAUGCCUGGUAGUUGUGGGACCUUGUAACCCUCCAGAACCCACCCUCCCAACUCCCCCACCACCCCCUCUCUCCUCCCUCUUCUAAACC
rnacentral:lncRNA from 1 species